rnacentral:SRP_RNA from 1 species
UGAGCCGGUCCGUGCGGUGUGGAAUCCGUGAACUCCGCCAGGUCCGGAAGGAAGCAACGGCAGCGGAAAUCCUCAGGCGUUGCGGAUAUCCGGCGAGCC